AGUGAACGCUGGCGGUAGGCCUAACACAUGCAAGUCGAACGGCAGCACAGUAAGAGCUUGCUCUUACGGGUGGCGAGUGGCGGACGGGUGAGGAAUACAUCGGAAUCUACUUUUUCGUGGGGGAUAACGUAGGGAAACUUACGCUAAUACCGCAUACGACCUACGGGUGAAAGCAGGGGAUCUUCGGACCUUGCGCGAUUGAAUGAGCCGAUGUCGGAUUAGCUAGUUGGCGGGGUAAAGGCCCACCAAGGCGACGAUCCGUAGCUGGUCUGAGAGGAUGAUCAGCCCCAGUGGAAAUAGGACCCGGUCCAGACCCCUACGGGAGGCAGCAGUGGGGAAUAUUGGAAAAUGGGCGCAAGCCUGGUCCCGCCAUACCGGGUGGGUGAAGAAGGCCUUCGGGUUGUAAAGCCCUUUUGUUGGGAAAGAAAAGCAGCAGGUUAAUCCCCCGGUGUUUUGACGGUACCCAAAGAAAAAGCACCGGCAAACUUCGU
rnacentral:rRNA from 1 species